UAGUUUUCCAUUAAUGUUACUGAUUUAUUAAUUUUGACUGUAUCAAGUUUUUGUAAGAGGAUAUCCUUGUUGCUGAAAAAACAUACAAGUAUUUAGAGUAAAGGGGCAUGAGCCUACAACUACUCAAGUGUACAGAUCAGGAAAAAAGUGUGUGUGUGUGUGUAGAGACAGAGAAGAAUAAACCAAAUGUGGCAAAAUGUUAAUAAUUAGUGAACCUGGGUGAAUCAUUUACAGCAACACUUUGUAUUAUCCUUGCAACUCUUCUGUUAGUUUGAAAUUAUUACAAAAUGCAAAGUUAAAUCUUGUUCUUAGGAGAGAUGUUAGAGUCAGCUAGCAAUACCCCACCCAAAGGACUCCUUUCCACGUUUGUAAGGAGCAUCAGCCGAUCCCUGCUAAUACACCCGUGCUGGUAAAGAAAGCAGACAGUCUGUGAAUGUUUACAUACCGCUCUACUCAGAAAGGAUUUUGAAGGUGGAUUGCAGUAAAAGUCAUAGACACAUUUAAAAAAA